rnacentral:rRNA from 1 species
AUUGAACGCUGGCGGCAGGCCUAACACAUGCAAGUCGAGCGAGCAGCGGAGGGGUGAGUAAUGUAUGGGGACUGCCCGAUAGAGGGGGAUAACUCCUGGAAACGGUAGCUAAUACCGCAUACUAUGGGCUAACCCAUCUGGGAUUAGCUAGUAGGUGAGGUAAUGGCUCACCUAGGCGACGAUCCCUAGCUGGUCUGAGAGGAUGAUCAGCCACACUGGGACUGAGACACGGCCCAGACUCCUACGGAGGCAGCAGUGGGGAAUAUUGCACAAUGGGCGCAAGCCUGAUGCAGCCACGCCGCGUGUAUGAAGAAGGCCUUAGGGUUGUAAAGUACUUUCAGUCGGGAGGCGUUACCGACAGAAGAAGCACCGGCUAACUCCGUGCCAGCAGCCGCGGUAAUUC